GAUAAAGUCCCAAAUCCUUUCUUGGGAAAGAGAGAAAAAGAUUCAUGCCAAAAUGCAUAUGGAAAAGAAGAAGAAAUGAAGAAGCGUAUCUAUAGCUUAGUUGAUAGGCGACCAAAAUUAUAGGUGAUCCCCACUACGGAUGAUGAAAUUUGGUGUAUAUAUGCAUAGCUCAGGACCAUGUAGUGCCCCAACUUAUGUGUUCCAAAGGUAACAUACUGUCCUUUUUGCAUAUUCAAUUUCCAGAACAACACAUUACUGGUUAAUUAAUUACUUACUUUUAUUUCUUA